AAACCAGCACCUCAAGUGGUCAGGAUGAUUAUUGGGCCUAAAGCAUCCGUAGCCUGCUUUGCCAGUUUUCGGUUAAAUCCAUACGCUUAACGUAUGGACUGCCGGAAAUACUACAAAGCUAGGGAGUGGGAGAGGUAGACGGUACUCGGGAGGAAGUGGUAAAAUGCUUUGAUCUCUCGAUGACCACCUGUGGCGAAGGCGGUCUACCAGAACACGUCCGACGGUGAGGGAUGAAAGCUGGGGGAGCAAACCGGAUUAGAUACCCGAGUAGUCC
rnacentral:rRNA from 1 species